AGGCGCCUGGAGGAUCUAUACAGAAACCUCAAAUGAUCCCUUGAAGAUUUAUAAAAAAUUUAAACCGUAACAUCUUCUUUUGUGGUUCACAGUAUAAAAAAAAUAAAGUCAGUUUUGGGUGAAUUAUUUAACUACAGCUAUUCAAGAAUUGAUGUAGGAAGCAUCUCAUACCCUGUCCUGAGCUGGCUUACGAACUCUGAAGAAGAAGACCACCAAUGAGGGCUCUGUUACCUUCGACUCCAGGUAGAUGUUUGCUAAAGACAUCUUGGCGAUCUUGUAGAGAGACAGUGAGAGUGUAACGGCACAGAGGACAAACAGUGUGUCAUUGAUGGCAACUCGCACCAGGACUAUGAUCUCUCUGUCUGUCUGUGUCAUCUUUACCAAAAGAGCACAGGUCAAAUUCACCAGCAGAAAGACCAGACUGAUGAACACUGAGAGCAGUACAAAGGACAGAUGUCUCUAACUCACCUGUGCGAAGUAAAGAUUCAUAAGACUCAGCGUGAAGAACUGAAGACAAACUGGAAAGCAAUAAAGCAGCCAGAAAGUAAAGGGUCCCAGCGUGUUGGCCGUCACACA